rnacentral:rRNA from 1 species
CCUACGGGUGGCAGCAGUGAGGAAUAUUGGUCAAUGGCCGGAAGGCUGAACCAGCCAAGCCGCGUGAAGGACGAAGGUGCCAAGCAUUGUAAACUUCUUUUGUCAAGGGACAAAAUCAGGCUCGAGAGCCUGACCGAGGGUACUUGAAGAAAAAGCAUCGGCUAACUCCGUGCCAGCAGCCGCGGUAAUACGGAGGAUGCGAGCGUUAUCCGGAUUUACUGGGCGUAAAGGGAGUGUAGGCGGUUUAGUAAGAUAGUGGUGAAAUCCCAGGGCUUGACUUUGGAAUUGCCAUUAUAACUAUUAGACGAGAAUUACAGAGAGGAUAGUGGAAUACCCAGUGUAGAGGUGAAAUUCGUAGAUAUUGGGUAGAACACCAGUGGCGAAGGCGACUAUCUGGCUGUACAUUGACGCUGAGGCUCGAAAGCAUGGGGAUCAAACAGGAUUAGAUACCCUGGUAGUC